rnacentral:lncRNA from 1 species
GGCGGCCAUGGUGGUGGUGGCUGUCGCCGGAAAAUUUUGAGGGAGGAGGCGACAACAUUUUCAGUGUGUGAGUGUGCGUGUGGGGAGGUGAGGAAGAAAGAGAGACCAAGGGCUCGGGAGAGGGAAGUCAGGGAUGGCGGCGGCGGCGGCCGGAGGACGGCGCUGCUGCCGUCCGCCGGAGGAGAGAAGAGGGCGAGAGGG